AUCAUAUAUAUUCUGGUGUCAUUCAUGUAUGUUAGGACCCUAUUAUUGUGUAAAUGUGAGAGUUGGACUUGAACAUUAGUAAACAAGGGUGACAAUGACAAUAGAGACAUGAUUGGCAUCAAGAAAGUGAUUGUUAAACAUAGUUUAACCAUAUUGACAUUGGUCCAAGUUGACAUAGAGUGGCAUGAUUAAAUAGGUAGAAACCUAUUGUGACAUUGGCAUUGUGACUAGUGGCUAUGUAUCCUCAAGUUGAGGAUUGGAUCGACACUCACGAUAAGUCUUGGCUUGAGGGAGGUAGCUCCCCCUCGGGCGGUGCGCUCCGGAGUUGGUCACCACUGGGCGUGGUAAAGUCCCACCAGUUGACGGUCCCUAGGGAGGUUCGAGUCCCCCGUUAUUAAGGGAUUUGGUUGUGAGUUAUUGGGGUUAACAUGGUUAACCGGUAAGAUUGGGUCAUAGCCAAAUGAGUGUACAACAAGUAUGCAUUAUGAGUUAUGGAUUUGGUAUCCUAGUCGAGAGGAUCUAGGGCUGAGGUGUAUGUGAGACGUCCAUCGCCUCGAGCCUGGUUCUAGUGCGGUACUCCGCAGACGAUUGACUCAAGACCGAGUCGGGUGGUUAGCCUUGUAAAGGAAGAUGAAACCUUAUGAUUAAAACGGUGAUUGACAAGAAUCUAAGAUAGAGGAAACCUUAAAUAUCAAAUGGAUGAGCUAUGGUUAGCAGAAUUGAAAGUAGUAUCGAAUGAACUACUAGUUGGUUGCAUAGUUGCAUUAUUGCAUGAUUUGCAUAUAGCAUUACAUUAUUGCAUUCGUGAGGCAAUGCAUGGUUUUAUUCGUUGCAUAAUCAAGAUAUAUAUCUAUCUGUUUAUUGAACUAACUUGCAGUUGCCUCCCUUGGACCUAUUGGUCGAACUUUUCCCUUGGGUGGCCGUACCCACUGGGAACCAUGGAGUUGGUUCUCACCCCACGUGGUUUUGGGGUGUUACAGGUUCACACGUGAGCGGCGCGGCGGCGCGAGGCGAGGGCGUAGCAUCAUAGUUAGCGCCCUACCACCGAGACCAGAGAUAGCGGUACCCUGAGUCGGCUUUUCUUAAAGAUGUAAGAAAAUGAAAGGAAUAAGAUUGUAAUAAUCAUGUUAAAUCGGAUUGUAUUUGGAAGUUAAAUGUAAUAAGUAUUUGGGAUGUAAAAUGUAUGAAUGUGAAUGCAUGUAAUAACAUAAGAUGUGUUAUGUUGUUUGAUACCUUCCAUUAUGCAAUCUUGAUUGAAAUGUGUUCCUGGUUGGAACUUUGUACAUUGUAUUGAUUGCUAUGCCUUGAACGUACAGGGGAGACUCUGUCCGCAGUACAGGGGAAACCCUGUCCGUUCGGCGAUCUGUUGCGGCGCCGCGACCCGGCCAAAUAGGCGGGCGGUCGCGGGGCGUGACAGAUAAGAUGGUAUCAGAGCAUAAAAGAAGCAUAAAGAGAACAUAAAAGAAUAAUAGAAAAUGGUUUAGUUGGACCUAGGAGACCCUAGGAUAGUAAACCAUAGGAGAUUAAGGCUCGUGAGAGACGAGGACUUGUUUCUUUUGGCGAAAGGUUAAUUGAUUGGGUUGUGUCAUAAACUUCUAAAACGGAUGUUAGAGGUAGA
rnacentral:lncRNA from 1 species